AUCCAGCUGACGAGUCCCAAAUAGGACAAAACACGUAUCCUAGAU
rfam:Schistosoma rodhaini strain Burundi genome assembly, scaffold: SROB_scaffold0000720